AAGAGUUUGAUCCUGGCUCAGGAUUAACGCCGGCGGCGCGCCUAAUACAUGCAAGUCGAACGGAAACCUUCGGGUUUUAGUGGCGAACGGGUGAGUAACACGUAAGCAACCUGCCUUUAAGACGUGGAUAACAAUUGGAAACAGUUGCUAAGACAGGAUAGGAAAUUAAGAGGCAUCUUUUAAUUUUUAAAAGACCUUUUUCGAAAGGUAUACUUAAAGAGGGGCUUGCGCCACAUUAGUUAGUUGGUAAGGUAAAGGCUUACCAAGACGAUGAUGUGUAGCUGGACUGAGAGGUCGAACAGCCACAUUGGGACUGAGACACGGCCCAAACUCCUACGGGAGGCAGCAGUAAGGAAUUUUUGGCAAUGGAGGAAACUCUGACCGAGCGACGUCGCGUGACAAUGAAGUACUUCGGUAUGUAAAGUUCUUUUAUUGAAAAAGAAAAAAUAGUGGAAAAACUAUCUUGACAUUAUUCAAUGAAUAAGCCCCGGCUAAUUAUGUGCCAGCAGCCGCGGUAAUACAUAAGGGGCGAGCGUUAUCCGGAAUUAUUGGGCGUAAAGGGUGCGUAGGCGGUUUGAUAAGUCUAUAGUUUAAAUGCAGUGCUUAACGCUGUAGCGCUAUAGAAACUGUCUGACUAGAGUUAGAUAGAGGCAAGCGGAAUUCCAUGUGUAGCGGUAAAAUGCGUAAAUAUAUGGAGGAACACCAGAGGCGUAGGCGGCUUGCUGGGUCUUAACUGACGCUGAGGCACGAAAGCGUGGGGAGCAAACAGGAUUAGAUACCCUGGUAGUCCACGCCGUAAACGAUGAGUACUAAGUGUCGGGUUUCGGCUCGGUACUGAAGUUAACACAUUAAGUACUCCGCCUGAGUAGUACGUACGCAAGUAUGAAACUUAAAGGAAUUGACGGGACCCCGCACAAGCGGUGGAUCAUGUUGUUUAAUUCGAAGAUACACGAAAAACCUUACCAGGUCUUGACAUAAUUUUGCGACAUUAUAGAAAUAUAAUGAAGGUUAUCAGAAUUACAGGUGGUGCAUGGUUGUCGUCAGCUCGUGUCGUGAGAUGUUAGGUUAAGUCCUAAAACGAGCGCAACCCUUGUCGUUAGUUGCGACCACGUAAUGGUGAGCACUUUAGCGAGACUGCCAAUGAAAAAUUGGAGGAAGGUGAGGAUUACGUCAAAUCAUCAUGCCCCUUAUGAUCUGGGCUACAAACGUGAUACAAUGGCUGUUACAAAGAGUAGCUACAACGUGAGUUUUUAGCCAAUCUCAAAAAAACAGUCUCAGUUCGGAUUGAAGUCUGCAACUCGACUUCAUGAAGUUGGAAUCGCUAGUAAUCGCGAAUCAGCAUGUCGCGGUGAAUACGUUCUCGGGGUUUGUACACACCGCCCGUCAAACCACGAAAGUUGAUAAUACCCGAAAGCGGUCGCCUAACUUCGUCAGAAGAGGGAGCCGUCUAAGGUAGGAUCGAUGAUUGGGGUUAAGUCGUAACAAGGUAUCCCUACCGGAAGGUGGGGAUGGAUC
rnacentral:rRNA from 1 species